rnacentral:rRNA from 1 species
UACGGAGGGUGCGAGCGUUGUCCGGAAUCACUGGGCGUAAAGGGCGCGUAGGUGGCGUCGCAAGUCAACGGUGAAAGCUCGACGCUUAACGUCGAGUCGGCCGUCGAGACUGCGAGGCUCGAGCACUGUAGAGGCUCAUGGAAUUCCGGGUGUAGCGGUGGAAUGCGUAGAGAUCCGGAAGAACACCGGUGGCGAAGGCGGUGAGCUGGGCAGUUGCUGACACUGAGGCGCGACAGCCAGGGGAGCGAACGGG